AUUGAACGCUGGCGGCAGGCCUAACACAUGCAAGUCGAGCGAGCGGCGGACGGGUGAGUAAUGUAUGGGGAUCUGCCCUAUCGAGGGAGCUAACUACUGGAAAAGGUGGCUAAUACCGCUAACUAUCGUCUGACCCCUUAUGGGAUUAGCUAGUAGGUGGGGUAAAGGCUCACAUAGGCGACGAUCUCUAGCUGGUCUGAGAGGAUGAUCAGCCACACUGGGACUGAGACACGGCCCAGACUCCUACGGGAGGCAGCAGUGGGGAAUAUUGCACAAUGGGCGCAAGCCUGAUGCAGCCAUGCCGCGUGUAUGAAGAAGGCCUUAGGGUUGUAAAGUACUUUCAGCGGGGAGGCGUUACCCGCAGAAGAAGCACCGGCUAACUCCGUGCCAGCAACCGCGGUAAUUC
rnacentral:rRNA from 1 species